CUUUACGGUCCAAUCUUCCUUUUUUUCUCUUACUGAAUCUGAGGUUGUAUGGACUAUGCUUUCCUGGACUGAGCCAUAGCAAAGCAACUUAAACAAACAAACAAACAAUCAGGCUUCUGGAAACUGGGCACUUUGGACACGAAGAAAGAACGGAAAGAACCAGGACAAUGGAAGACUGCUUAGGAUGUGGGCUUAGGCUAUCAGGACGCAUCUCUCCAGGAGUCCCCACUCUCGGGCCAGACUCUGUGUUACACACUCAGGCUUGCCCUCAAAGGGUAAAGAAAAUGGCUGCUGGGUCUCCAGGCACGCUCUUCCAGUUCUGUGGCUCCAAGUGACUGAAAGCUUUGCUCCUCCACCCACUUGCUUCACUUCGAAUCAGUCGUUUGAAUCCCAGCAUUCACACAGUGGCUCACAACCAUCACAAUGAGAGGUGAAUCCUAACAGCCAAGGUGCUGUGCUGAACAGGGCCUGUGCCUCCCGCUCACCCCAAGGCCAAACUGAUAGGGCACCAGGACUGACAACCUAGCUAGAUGCCCAUGGAGCUAGCAAGGGAAACUCCCCAAAGAAAGCAGAGACCAUUACCUAGAGGAAGCGAGUUGGAGUGAGAUGCCCGGAAAAUAAGACAUUCCGUUGACACAGUGUCCAAUGAUACAGGUUCGGUUGAACCAACUGUCAUUUUGACAUAAAGCAGUAUAUGUAACUAUCAAAGUAUAAUGAAUGCUCCUUGGGCUGGGGAGAUGGCUCAGCAAAUAAGGGAGCUCGCCAUCAAGCCUGAAUACCCAAGUUUAAUCCCCGAAGCCACAUUGUGGAGGGAGAGGACCAACUCCCAAAGCCUCUCCUCUGGCC
rnacentral:lncRNA from 1 species